rnacentral:rRNA from 1 species
AGAGUUUGAUCAUGACUCAGAGCGAACGUUAGCGGCGGGCCUAACACAUGCAAGUCGAACGGGCAGUAGCGAUACUGUCAGUGGCGCACGGGUGCGUAACGCGUAGAUAAUCUACCUCUAAGUGGGGGAUAACUAGGGGAAACUCUAGCUAAUACCGCAUAAGACCACGGGGCCUUCGGGUUCUGGGGGAAAAGACGGCCUCUGAAUAUGCUGUCGCUGAGAGAUGAGUCUGCGUCCCAUCAGCUAGUUGGUGAGGUAAUGGCUCACCAAGGCAAAGACGGGUAGCUGGUCUGAGAGGAUGAUCAGCCACACUGGCACUGGAACACGGGCCAGACUCCUACGGGAGGCAGCAGUGGGGAAUAUUGGGCAAUGGGCGGAAGCCUGACCCAGCCACGCCGCGUGAGUGAUGAAGGCCUUCGGGUUGUAAAGCUCUGUGGGGAGGGACGAAAAACCAUGACCUAAUACGUCCUGGGUUGACGGUACCUCCUUAGCAAGCACCGGCUAACUCUGUGCCAGCAGCCGCGGUAAGACAGAGGGUGCAAACGUUGCUCGGAUUUACUGGGCGUAAAGCGCAUGUAGGCGGAGAGAUGUGUCGGGUGUGAAAUCCCUGGGCUCAACCUAGGAACUGCAUCCGAAACUAUCUUUCUAGAGUAGUGGAGAGGAAAGCGGAAUUCCGGGUGUAGAGGUGAAAUUCGUAGAUAUCCGGGAGGAACACCAGUGGCGAACGCGGCUUUCUGGGACACUAACUGACGCUGAGAUGCGAAAGCGUGGGAGCAAACAGAUUAGAUACCCUGGUAGUCCACCGCCGUAAACGAUGAGUGCUGGGGUGUUUCGGGUAUUGACCCCCGAGGCGCCGUAGCUAACGCGUUAAGCACUCCGCCUGGGGAGUACGGCCGCAAGGCUAAAACUCAAAGGAAUUGACGG